GAUGGUGUAGUUCAGUUGGUUAGAACGUGCGACUCAUAAUCGCUUUGUCACUGGUUCAAGUCCUGCCGCCAUCGCCAG
rnacentral:tRNA from 1 species